rnacentral:rRNA from 1 species
ACUCAAAGGAAUUGACGGGGGCCCGCACAAGCGGCGGAGCAUGUGGCUUAAUUCGACGCAACGCGAAGAACCUUACCAAGGCUUGACAUACGCCGGAAAACUCUGGAGACAGGGUCCCCCUUUGUGGUCGGUGUACAGGUGGUGCAUGGCUGUCGUCAGCUCGUGUCGUGAGAUGUUGGGUUAAGUCCCGCAACGAGCGCAACCCUUGUCCCGUGUUGCCAGCAACGUCUUCGGAUGGUUGGGGACUCACGGGAGACUGCCGGGGUCAACUCGGAGGAAGGUGGGGACGACGUCAAGUCAUCAUGCCCCUUAUGUCUUGGGCUGCACACGUGCUACAAUGGCCGGUACAAUGAGAGGCGAGACCGUGAGGUGGAGCGAAUCUCAAAAAGCCGGUCUCAGUUCGGAUUGGGGUCUGCAACUCGACCCCAUGAAGUCGGAGUCGCUAGUAAUCGCAGAUCAGCAGUGCUGCGGUGAAUACGUUCCCGGGCCUUGCACACACCGCCCGU